UGAGUCAGCAAGGAACCUGGGCAUGCUGCCCACAUGCCGCCACGUCUCUCUGCUUUGAUGACUGGCUGCCCAGAGGUCAGGAGGGAGAGAGCUAAGCACUUUCCACUGCAUGCUAGGAUAUAGGGCUUGCAACAUAGACCCAGCCCUACAGCCGUCACCCCAGCUGGGGCAGGCAGCUCCUAGGCGCUCUCUCCCUUAAUCAAGGGCAUCCACAGCUAAAGCAGCCUUUCAGGAGGUGACAGGCCCAAGACAAGCAAGUCUUUGUCAAAUGCUUGCGAUGACAAGGCCAAUGGUAACUGUGGGAGGGAGGGAGACGGGUAGAUCUCUUCGCCCGCAGUUUACUGGGCUGCUGGAAGGUUUUCUCUCCCUACUCUCCCUGCCUUCUCUCUUUUCCCUUCUCCCCAGUCUCCCUCUUCCCUCAAAAGGGUUUUACUUUAGCUUAAUGGUGGGGGUUCCGAAGAGGGUAUUGGCAACUCCUGGGGCGGGUCUGGUGGCUCUGCCAUCUCUAAGGGGACAUCACGUGCUUUCGGUUCCUGUGCUUCACAGAGCUCCUCCUGCCCCUGAGAGGGCUCCAGCUGCUCCUGACCCUGGGCCUGGCUGUUCAUCUUCUCUUCAGCUUCAAUCUCUUCUGAUGUGGGGAUGGAGUUCUUCUUGGGGCGACCUUUGGGUUUUGUGGGUGCUUCCUGUCCACCUUUAAGAACCUACGGUGACAGUGAGGGUGACCAACAGAUAAUGUGUAUGAAAGGACCAGAACGGCACCUGAAUGGUAGGUUUCCUUUGCCCAGAAUAUAUAUACCAUC
rnacentral:lncRNA from 1 species